GUAGUCAUAUGCUUGUCUCAAAGAUUAAGCCAUGCAUGUCUAAGUACAUGCCGUAUUAAGGCGAAACCGCGAAUGGCUCAUUAAAUCAGUUAUGGUUCCUUGGAUCGUACCUUACUACUUGGAUAACUGUGGUAAUUCUAGAGCUAAUACAUGCAGCAGAGCUCCGACCUUCGGGGACGAGCGCUUUUAUUAGACCAAAACCAAUCGGACUCUGUCCGUCUCUCGUGGUGACUCUGAAUAACUUUGGGCUGAUCGCACGGGCCCGUCCCGGCGACGUAUCUUUCAAGUGUCUGCCUUAUCAACUGUCGAUGGUAGGUUACGCGCCUACCAUGGUCGUAACGGGUAACGGGGAAUCAGGGUUCGAUUCCGGAGAGGGAGCCUGAGAAACGGCUACCACAUCCAAGGAAGGCAGCAGGCGCGCAAAUUACCCACUCCCAGAACGGGGAGGUAGUGACGAAAAAUAACAAUACGGGACUCUUUUGAGACCCCGUAAUUGGAAUGAGUACACUCUAAAUCCUUUAACGAGGAUCCAUUGGAGGGCAAGUCUGGUGCCAGCCGCCGCGGUAACUCCAGCUCCAAUAGCGUAUAUUAAAGUUGUUGCGGUUAAAAAGCUCGUAGUUGGAUCUCAGUUCCAGACGGGUGGUCCGCCUACCGGUGGUUACUGCCUGUUCUGAACAGCCAGCCGGUUUCUCUUGAUGAUCUUCACCGGUUGUCUUGGGUGACCGGCAAGUUUACUUUGAAAAAAUUAGAGUGCUCAAAGCAGGCGCGACGCCUGAAUAAUGGUGCAUGGAAUAAUGGAAUAGGACCUCGGUUCUAUUUUGUUGGUUUUCGGAACACGAGGUAAUGAUUAAGAGGGACAGACGGGGGCAUUCGUAUUGCGACGCUAGAGGUGAAAUUCUUGGACCGUCGCAGGACGAACUACUGCGAAAGCAUUUGCCAAGAAUGUUUCCAUUAAUCAAGAACGAAAGUUAGAGGUUCGAAGGCGAUCAGAUACCGCCCUAGUUCUAACCAUAAACGAUGCCAGCCAGCGAUCCGGCUGUGUUCCUCAAAUGACACGCCGGGCAGCUUCCGGGAAACCAAAGCUUUUGGGUUCCGGGGGAAGUAUGGUUGCAAAGCUGAAACUUAAAGGAAUUGACGGAAGGGCACCACCAGGAAUGGAGCCUGCGGCUUAAUUUGACUCAACACGGGAAAACUCACCCGGCCCGGACACAGGAAGGAUUGACAGAUUAAGAGCUCUUUCUUGAUUCUGUGGGUGGUGGUGCAUGGCCGUUCUUAGUUGGUGGAGCGAUUUGUCUGGUUAAUUCCGAUAACGAACGAGACUCUAGCCUACUAAAUAGACGUUCCGAUCACUCUCGUCGGGCGUUCUUCUUAGAGGGAC
rnacentral:rRNA from 1 species